rnacentral:tRNA from 1 species
UAGCUUAGUGGUAGAGUGCUUGCCUAGCAUGCAGAAGGCCUUGGGUUCAAUCCCCAG